rnacentral:rRNA from 1 species
UACGUAGGGUGCGAGCGUUAAUCGGAAUUACUGGGCGUAAAGCGUGCGCAGGCGGUUUUGUAAGCCAGAUGUGAAAUCCCCGGGCUUAACCUGGGAAUGGCAUUUGGGACUGCAAGGCUGGAGUGUGGCAGAGGAGACUGGAAUUCCUGGUGUAGCAGUGAAAUGCGUAGAUAUCAGGAGGAAUACCGAUGGCGAAGGCAGGUCUCUGGGCUAGAACUGACGCUCAUGCACGAAAGCGUGGGGAGCAAACAGG